AACAGAAGUGGAGAUGAGUGAAACCCAGACACACCAUUGAGAAGGUCUUGCAUUAAACAUGGCUGAGUUGAACAGCCAACCACCAUGGAGUGUUGCCGGUGGUACGAUGACAUUCAUUGAAGAUCCGGAAGCUUCUUUAAUGGGUUCACCCUUAAAUGUUGUCCCACAUAAUCUUUUACCUGAAUUUGCAUUUAAUGAAGAUGAAGAUGCAUUGGUUAAGAGUAGAGUUGUUGAAGAUACUGAACCUAUUUCUUCACAGUUUCCAGAUGAGUCAUACAUUUUUUUCAGUUUUAUUAAAUGUACACCUUUUAAGUUGCAGCAAGAACAUUAUCACUUAGAAAACAUAAAUUUAUAGACAUUUGUGUUUGAUAUUUUCUUUUUUUCUGACAUUUGUGUGUUAUUCAGCAGUUGAAGUUUUGUAGCCUGAAAACGAGAACGUGGACGAUUCUGCCUCAGAUCUGCAUCAAAACGGCACCAACGAUGAUGAUGAUGGUGUUCAGAAUUGUAUUUUCACAGAGUUGCUAUCCACAGGUAUUCAGGUGGACGAGGAACUUUUGUAACACAAGCUUCUAUUUUUUUGUUUACGUUUAUAUAUGUACAUUAAAUGUAAAAUCUUUGUAGUUUAAAAUUUGUAACAAUGUGAUGUAAUAUAACACUUUGUGUUGGAGGAGAAAGAAAAGAAAACGCGUUACACUUUUAUGUAUGUGAAUAUCCUUUAA